rnacentral:rRNA from 1 species
AGUGAACGCUGGCGGUAGGCCUAACACAUGCAAGUCGAACGGCAGCACAGUAAGAGCUUGCUCUUACGGGUGGCGAGUGGCGAACGGGUGAGGAAUACAUCGGAAUCUACUUUUUCGUGGGGGAUAACGUAGGGAAACUUACGCUAAUACCGCAUACGGCCUACGGGUGAAAGCAGGGGAUCUUCGGACCUUGCGCGAUUGAAUGAGCCGAUGUCGGAUUAGCUAGUUGGCGGGGUAAAGGCCCACCAAGGCGACGAUCCGUAGCUGGUCUGAGAGGAUGAUCAGCCACACUGGAACUGAGACACGGUCCAGACUCCUACGGGAGGCAGCAGUGGGGAAUAUUGGACAAUGGGCGCAAGCCUGAUCCAGCCAUACCGCGUGGGUGAAGAAGGCCUUCGGGUUGUAAAGCCCUUUUGUUGGGAAAGAAAAGCAGCAGGUUAAUACCCCGCUGUUCUGACGGUACCCAAAGAAUAAGCACCGGCUAACUUCGUG